GAUGAACGCUCUCUACAGGCUUAACACAUGCAAGUCGAGGGGCAGCAUCGCGAUAGCUUGCUAUUGCGGAUGGCGACCGGCGCACGGGUGAGUAACGCGUAUCCAACCUUCCCGCAACUGGGGAAUAACCUUGCGAAAGUAAGACUAAUACCCCAUGGUCUCCACGGAUGGCAUCUGAAAUGGAGUAAAGGUUUCGGCCGGUUGCGGAUGGGGAUGCGUCCGAUUAGCUUGACGGCGGGGUAACGGCCCACCGUGGCAUCGAUCGGUAGGGGUUCUGAGAGGAAGGUCCCCCACAUUGGAACUGAGACACGGUCCAAACUCCUACGGGAGGCAGCAGUGAGGAAUAUUGGUCAAUGGGCGGAAGCCUGAACCAGCCAAGUAGCGUGAAGGACGACUGCCCUAUGGGUUGUAAACUUCUUUUAUGCGGGGAUAAAGUUCGCCACGUGUGGCGUUUUGCAGGUACCGCAUGAAUAAGGACCGGCUAAUUCCGUGCCAGCAGCCGCGGUAAUACGGAAGGUCCAGGCGUUAUCCGGAUUCAUUGGGUUUAAAGGGAGCGUAGGCCGCCUUUUAAGCGUGUUGUGAAAUGUAGGGGCUCAACCCCUGCACUGCAGCGCGAACUGGAGGGCUUGAGUACACACAAAGUAGGCGGAAUUCAUGGUGUAGCGGUGAAAUGCUUAGAUAUCAUGAAGAACCCCGAUUGCGAAGGCAGCUUACUGGAGUGUAACUGACGCUGAAGCUCGAAAGCGCGGGUAUCGAACAGG
rnacentral:rRNA from 1 species